UACGGAGGGUGCAAGCGUUAAUCGGAAUUACUGGGCGUAAAGCGCACGCAGGUGGCUGAGAAAGUCGAUUGUGAAAGCCCUGGGCUUAACCUGGGAAUUGCAGUCGAAACUACUCGGCUAGAGUAUGGGAGAGGGUAGUGGAAUUCCCGGUGUAGCGGUGAAAUGCGUAGAUAUCGGGAGGAACAUCAGUGGCGAAGGCGGGUCUCUGGGCCGUAACUGACGCUGAGGAGCGAAAGCAUGGGGAGCGAACAGG
rnacentral:rRNA from 1 species